UACAGAGGAUGCAAGCGUUAUCCGGAAUGAUUGGGCGUAAAGCGUCUGUAGGUGGCUUUUCAAGUCCGCCGUCAAAUCCCAGGGCUCAACUCUGGACAGGCGGUGGAAACUACCAAGCUGGAGUACGGUAGGGGCAGAGGGAAUUUCCGGUGGAGCGGUGAAAUGCGUAGAGAUCAGGAGGAACACCGGUGGCGAAGGCGGGUCUCUGGGCAGUAACUGACGCUGAGGAGCGAAAGCGUGGGGAGCGAACAGG
rnacentral:rRNA from 1 species